rnacentral:lncRNA from 1 species
AAUCAAAAGAAUUUCCAUAUCCAUCAAGAGAGAAAGAUAACAAGGAGACUAUGGGGAGCUAGAAUAUCAAGUUAGAUUCAAGAAAUAGAAGCUGGAGGAGGGAGAAAAUCAAGUUAAAGAUUGAAAUCAAUGGCAUAAGGUAAGAACAUCAAGAUUUUUACAUACUUUUGAGUUUGAUAUUAUUGAAAAAGUAGGAAAUUAAUGUUAAGGUAAAGUUUCAUUAUAUAAGGUUCUAUAUUCUUGUUAUGUUAGUAAAGGGAAAUAAGAGAAAGUGAUGGAAAAUAUUGAAGAGAAAGGAAAGGAAAGUGUUAUAAAUUUAGUUAUCAACAUUUUACACUAAAAUAGUUUUGAAACAACAGCAGUAGUCUGACUUUGAAAAUCUACCAAAACUCGUAUAAAUUGAAUUAGAGGAUGAAAAAAAUAUGAAAUUAAAGCUUGUUGAGUCUAGUUUCUCGUAGAAGAAACAAUGUAAGUAAUGAAAUUGUAAAUUAUGAGAUAUAAUAGGUUUUGUGAGAUAAGGUCAGAAUGAUUUCGGGUUCCCCUGUACUGACUUUGGAAAAUCAUCAAAAAUUAGAGAAAAAUAAUUAGAGGCUUAAAUUUAUAUGUUUAAAUCCUUACUGAGUCUAUUUUUAAUAGAAAUAAAUGUUAAUAUCAUUCGAAUUCUGUACGAGGAGAUAGUUAAUUUUUAGUAGUUAAUUUUUAGUGAAGAAGGGUCGGAACUGUUAGAUAGCAGAAUAGAGAUGACUUUAAGUACUUAUUGGCUAAACCAAAAAUUCUGAAAAUUUUAUGGUAAGAAGAUAUGUGAGUCUAGUUUUAGGGAAAAUUAACAGAUAUUAAUUUUUAGUUCUGUAGCUCAAGAUAUAAAUAAUUUAGUGACUACGACUCAAGUGGACAGCUUUGAAUGAAUAUAUAAGUAAAUGGUGAAAUUAUAGAUAAUGUUACCUAUAAGCAUGUUAUAUACAUUAAGGAUGUGGAAUGGAGAGGAGGAGGAGGAAAAUAUAUGAUUACUCAACUAGCAUGAGUUUUCAUUAAAAAUGGCCAAUUUACAUGUUUUAGGUUCAGGGACUAAAUUGAACAAAUGUGAAACUUUAAGGGUAAAUUUGUAAAAAUGUCAAAAAAUGACCAAAUUGUAUGAAAUGAAUUGUUUUAUUAUUUAAAUUACCAAAUUGAAUGAAAUAUUAAUUUAGAUCAAGAUUGGGUGGAAAUUCGAGAAAAAAAUAGAAAAUUUUCAAAAUGUCCUUGAAUUUUGUUAUUUCUGCAAUUUAGCCUGUUAAGUUUGUAUGAACUAUAUUUUGUGUAAUUUUAAUUGAAUUGAAUGCUAUUUGGUAAUGAAUAUUAUAUAUAUGUGUGUUUUAUUAUUGGAAUUUAAUUAUUAUUGGUAAUAUGUAUAAUUAUUAGAUGUUUUGAAAUGAUUAUCGGAAGCUCGAUUGGGUUUGAAGCUUGUUGGAGAUAUAUCACAUUAUCCAUUGGUUCUAUCGGUAAUUUUGGAUGAUUUGAUUCUGGUUAUAAUGACUUGUAUAAGUUAAAUUGGUUAAUGUUAGCUCAUAAAUGUUUUGAUUUUGAUUGGUUAUAAAUAUGAAUGCUUGAUGGAAUGAAAUGCUAUGGAAUGAAAUGGUAUGGAAUGGAAUG